GAUGAACGCUGGCGGCGUGCCUAAUACAUGCAAGUCGAGCGAAUGGAUUGAGAGCUUGCUCUUAUGAAGUUAGCGGCGGACGGGUGAGUAACACGUGGGUAACCUGCCCAUAAGACUGGGAUAACUCCGGGAAACCGGGGCUAAUACCGGAUAACAUUUUGAACCGCAUGGUUCGUAAUUGAAAGGCGGCUUCGGCUGUCACUUAUGGAUGGACCCGCGUCGCAUUAGCUAGUUGGUGAGGUAACGGCUCACCAAGGCAACGACGCGUAGCCGACCUGAGAGGGUGAUCGGCCACACUGGGACUGAGACACGGCCCAGACUCCUACGGGAGGCAGCAGUAGGGAAUCUUCCGCAAUGGACGAAAGUCUGACGGAGCAACGCCGCGUGAGUGAUGAAGGCUUUCGGGUCGUAAAACUCUGUUGUUAGGGAAGAACAAGUGCUAGUUGAAUAAGCUGGCACCUUGACGGUACCUAACCAGAAAGCCACGGCUAACUACGUGCCAGCCGCCGCAGUAA
rnacentral:rRNA from 1 species